rnacentral:rRNA from 1 species
CGGCGUGGAUGAGGCAUGCAAGUCGUACGAUAUGGGGGCAACUCCAUAUAGUGGCGUAAGGGUUAGUAAUACAUAGAUAAUCUACCUCUGACCUGGGAAUAACGGCUGGAAACGGCCGCUAAUACCGAAUGAGAUGGUGUAGGGCAUCCUAUAUUUAUCAAUGCGGGGGAUCGAAAGACCUUGUGGUUAGAGAAGAGUCUAUGGGAUAUCAGCUAGUUGGUGAGGUAAUGGCUCACCAAGGCUAAGACGUCUAGGCGGAUUGAGAGAUUGACCGCCAACACUGGGACUGA